CGUCGGCAAUUGUGAGAGAAAAAAAAAGCCGAAUUUCUCACAGAAUCCUAUUUGGGGACUUAAAGCUCUGCGAAGCACCCAGCGCUGUUAGAUUCGUGACACAAACAUGAAUGUUCCCCAGACGUGCAGGUGGGUGCAGAAAUCCACACCGACCCACGGACAACAGCAGCAUGGCAGCUUCCCACCAGCUGUACGUGAAGGAAACUGCCCCAGGGCUCUGCAGUUGUUUGUUUGGGCGCAUGGGGAGUUCAAACCGAAAGUUGGAAAGCAAAACAAAACCCAGCAAGCCAAAACCGUUGUUUGAAUUAGGCGGUUCUUCUACAACCAGUCCAAGCGAGAAGUCGACAAUAUACGUCCUAGUUAUUGUGGAAAGAUCAGCUAAGAAAGAAAAAGAACAGCAGAGGCAGUGAGCAGGCAGGCGCGGAGUGGAGCGGGCUCUCCUGGAAGCCAGAGGCCAGAGCUACGGGUGUCUUGCGCUCACCUGCAGCAAGAGAAAGUUCUCAUCGCGUGGAAAUGGCCCCAGGGAGGGAAGAAUGAAAAGUCGUAUUUGAGCAAUAAUACAAUGUAAACAAACAGUAAGUGUGUGGAGCUUUUCUGUAUUUCUCAAGGCACAAAAAUGUUCUUUGUGAGAGGUUGUGUUGCUGCCUUCUGCCGCUGCAAACUGCUGCUCUCAUCUGCAUAACGAACAGAAAAACCGGACGCUUCUGAUAGAAGUCUCAGCCAUAUAUAACAGUCCUAAGGCCAAGAGCCUCAGGGCACAUCAUCCUGAAGUGAAAACAGAGCGUGCUCUGGGACUCAGUGAGAAGCAGAGGACAAGGGCUGUCCAGUGAUGCCAUCUCUCAGUGCAGGCUGGCACACACCACUGAUGUCUCCUGGCCACAUCUGCAAGGGUGGCCUCUGAGGACUGGCUUCUGUCCACAGCUUGGAUUCAAGAUGGUGCUAAUGCAGCUCCACCUGGAAUAGCUCAGUACCUGAAUUGCUUUCAGGUCAUGAGGAAUUGACGCCUCUCACUCACAGUGGAAAAGGAUAAUGGGAAUUUGUGAGAAUUAUUUAAUGACCGGUGAAAAAUUCUGCCGUUCUUAACUCCAAGUCAAAAAGAGGCCAAGAGAUGCACAAAGCAUACUCAGAGGCUCUGCAACAAGUAAGGAAGACAUAUCUGACUCGGACACAAAGAGGAGUCCUGCCCUGAUAAGCUGAAACAAGCCUUUUCUUCUGAUCUUUUCAACCAGCUGCCUUCCCUUCACCCCUGCCACACACACCCACAUUUUUUUUUUUUUUUUUUUUUCCUCCAAAGGGAAAAGCCUCUGUGACAGUAUCAUUCUUAGACACCUUUGUUCUUGUGUACGUAUAAGAAACUCAAACCAUCAAUUCAUAACCACUAAUUUUGCUCAGCUGCAGAAGGUCUGGAAAUGAUUGAGUUUAAACUCCACAGUUUGAAUGUGCUUUUGUUACUGUUUUCAAAAUUGAACUGAUAACAGUUCUUCUAACAGGAAGAAGAGCAAAACAUCAGAAAUCCCAUGGGAGUUCCAUUAAUACUUCUCGUGAACAGGCGAUUUAAAUCAUUGUCUGAAAAAUAAAAUACAAGUAGUUUCAGCUUAGUCUAAAAGUACACUGGACAAGACUGCAAAUAUUUUUAAUUGUGUUGCUAUAAAAAAAUUGUAGUGGGCUAGCUGUUUUAAAUCUUACCAGCAGUGAAAAGAAUUCAUCUACUAAAAGAGUACUGCAUACUUUAAAAUACAAAAAAAAUUUGACCAAACUAAUCAUUUCCUUUAAAAUGCUUUCUGCCAAGCUUAGAAUUACCUCACAAAGCCAAUCUCACAACACUGCAACAAAUAACUGAAUUCAGGUACUUCCUUUUAACCCAUUACUCAGGCUUCGAAGAAGCUUUCCAACAUUUAUAGCAGUUUUUAAGUGUUCAGCAGACAUUACUCUAUUUGCUAAACAAUAUCAGACUGCAAAAUUGCUCUUACUGUUGAUAGAUCAAUAAUGACAUGGGAUAAGUCAUUAUCUCCGUGGCAACAGGAUUGUUACUGUUAGAGGAACAUUGCGCAUGUUGCUGCUGCUGCUCUAACAGGCAUGCCUCGGCUUCCUCGCACUGCUGCUCUCUCUGUAAGCCUGGUAUGCCCAGAGUACCACCAACCAAGGGCAUCUCUUUGACUACAGAGAAUUCCACUGCAGCUGAGGUUAUGCUGUUCCUGAAGGAGCUUACCCCCACAAGGAUUUAUGACCCUUCAAUGUGAUGUCUCCAUUUCGCUUCUCUUUUCUUAUUAACCAUAUCCUUGCGGAAAUAGCUGGAAUUAGACAUGGGAUUCCAAAUACAAUCAAGUUUCCAUCA